rnacentral:rRNA from 1 species
GACCUUCGGGCCUUGCGCUAUCAGAUGAGCCUAGGUCGGAUUAGCUAGUUGGUGGGGUAAUGGCUCACCAAGGCGACGAUCCGUAACUGGUCUGAGAGGAUGAUCAGUCACACUGGAACUGAGACACGGUCCAGACUCCUACGGGAGGCAGCAGUGGGGAAUAUUGGACAAUGGGCGAAAGCCUGAUCCAGCCAUGCCGCGUGUGUGAAGAAGGUCUUCGGAUUGUAAAGCACUUUAAGUUGGGAGGAAGGGCAGUAAGCUAAUACCUUGCUGUUUUUGACGUUACCGACAGAAUAAGCACCGGCUAACUCUGUGCCAGCAGCCGCGGUAAUACAGAGGGUGCAAGCGUUAAUCGGAAUUACUGGGCGUAAAGCGCGCGUAGGUGGUUCGUUAAGUUGGAUGUGAAAGCCCCGGGCUCAACCUGGGAACUGCAUCCAAAACUGGCGAGCUAGAGUACGGUAGAGGGUGGUGGAAUUUCCUGUGUAGCGGUGAAAUGCGUAGAUAUAGGAAGGAACACCAGUGGCGAAUAUCUACGAAUUUCACCUCUACACUCG